rnacentral:pre_miRNA from 1 species
UUUGUACUCCCUCCGUCCGAAAAUACUUGUCGAAGAAAUGCAUAAAAAUGAAUGUAUCUAGAACUAAAAUACAUCUGGAUACAUUCAUUUCUCCGACAAGUAUUUCCGGACGAAGGGAGUGCUAG